rnacentral:rRNA from 1 species
GACGAACCGUGCGAACGUUGUUCGGAUUCACUGGGCUUAAAGGGCGCGUAGGCGGGCUGGCAAGUCAGGGGUGAAAUCCUCCAGCUCAACCGGAGAACAGCCUUUGAUACUGCCAGUCUAGAGGAAGGUAGGGGCAUGUGGAACUUCCGGUGGAGCGGUGAAAUGCGUAGAUAUCAUUUGGAACGCCAAUGGUGAAAACAGGUAGCUGGGAGUGUGCUGACACUGAGACACGAAAGCCAGGGGAGCGAACGGG